ensembl:snRNA U2 U2 spliceosomal RNA
AUUGCUUCUCAGCCUUUUGGUUAAGAUCAAGUAUAAGUAUCUGUUUUUAUCAGUUUGAUAUCUGAUACGUCCUCUGUCUGACUUUCCUUGUGGCUCAGCUGGUAAAGAAUCCAC